rnacentral:rRNA from 1 species
ACGAGGGGGGCAAGCGUUGUUCGGAAUUAUUGGGCGUAAAGGGUGCGUAGGCGGUUUGACAAGUCAUCUGUGAAAUCUAUGGGCUCAACCCAUAGUCUGCAGGCGAAACUGUCGGGCUUGAGUAUUGGAGAGGUGAGUGGAAUUUCCGGUGUAGCGGUGAAAUGCGUAGAUAUCGGAAGGAACACCUGUGGCGAAAGCGGCUCACUGGACAAUAACUGACGCUGAGGCACGAAAGCUAGGGGAGCAAACAGGAUUAGAUACCCUGGUAGUCCUAGCCCUAAACGAUGAUUGCUUGGUGUGGCAGGUACCCAAUCCUGCCGUGCCGAAGCUAACGCGAUAAGCAAUCCGCCUGGGGAGUACGGUCGCAAGGCUG